GACGCAGGCCGGGUGACCGCGGAGCGCCACGUGCUGGUCAAACAGCUGGGUGCUUCGAGGAAAGUCCGGACACCGAAGGGCAGGACGCUGGGGCGACCCAGGCGGCGAAAGCCGACGGAAAGUGGCACAGAAAGGAGACCGCCGGCGAGGGAUCUCGCGAGACCUCGAAGGUAAGGGUGAAACGGUGGGGUAAGAGCCCACCAGCGCCGUGGCGACACGGCGGCUAGCCAAACCCCGUCCGGUGCAAGGCGAACAGGCUCCGUUGACGCGGCCCGCCGAGGAGCCGGGUAAGCCGCACAGAAGGAUGGUCACCCAAGACAGAAUCCGGCUUACAGGCCUGCUACACCG
rnacentral:RNase_P_RNA from 1 species